UUCUAUAAAAAUAGAGAAGCCUGUGUAGAAAGUAGGCCCGCGACAGUUCCAAAACUUAGAAAGUAGGCCCGUGACAGUUCCAAAACUGCCCUUGAACCAUUUUCGUUAACAUACCAAAUCUCGCGACCGUUCCUUAACCGCCCUCACACUAAUAUCCCUGACGGUUUCUCAACAGCCGCACUCAUUCACUACGAUUUUCCUUCUAGAACACAUGGCGUCAGUUGUUUAAACUGCCCCUUCACCUUUGAAAUUCCACCUCCAAGAUAAACACCACUUUCGUUCUCGCGCUUUCAUUUCCCAUUUAAUUUUCAUUUUCCCUUUAAUCCUGAAAACCCUUAUUUUCCCUAAAUUUUAAAUCACAUUCUAUUUUCUCUAAAAUUGAAAAACCCCUGACAUGGUUAUUCUUGUUAAUCUCAAAUCCCAUAAUCGAAAAACAUAACUCUUCUAUCACAUCUCACCCUCGUUUUGAUAUUUAUUUUGAUUUUCCACUCAUUGCAUUUCUAAUUUCCAUUUCGAUUUAUUGUUCCUUAGGUUUCGGUUUCAAUUUGACAUGCACUAUAUUUCCUUGUUUCAAUUUUGGUUUGAAUAUCAAUUUCGUUUUCGAUUUCGAUUUACUACUCACUACAUAUUCCAGUUUCGAUUUCAGUUUCCAUGUUUUGAUUUCAAUUUUCAUGUUUCGAUUACAAUUUGAAGGUCGUUGAAUGUUCAAUAUCAAUGGAGCAAAUGAUGAGUGCUGAUGAAGUGUUCUGCACAGGACUACAGUGAUUAUUUCCUCUGUUACAUCUCUAACAUAUAAAAAAACUAGGCAUGACAAUACUUGAUGCUAUGAGAUACAUUCGACCCGAUGUAUCUACUAUUUUGUGUUGGAUUUAGCAACAAGACAGAUUGCCUAUAGACUAAAGAAAAUUUGCCACUGUGAAAAUGUUUGAUAGAUGGCGUGGAAUCACUCAACAAUGUUCUGCUUAUUGGAAUGACUAACAAAAAGGACAUGCUUUUAUGAAGCACUCUUAAGAAUGUUAGAAGUUGAGCACGUGAGGAAAUGCAUGAAAAGCAAAUGAAAUAAAUCAGAGGGUUGGUUCACGAUUCUGCUUGAACCCAAAUAAAAUAUUAGGUGGCAGCUUUGGAGGUCCAACUCUGUAUGAGAAUUCAUUCUAUGUGUCACCAAACCAGGCACCAACCUACAUGCUCUUAAUUUUGCACUCUUAAUUUCUCUAGUUUUGUACUGAAAAUAACUAAAUCUUGUUUGUGUUUUAACCCUUUUAUGUCAGUUGUUGUAGAUUUGAGCUUUGUAGAGGAAGAAAAAGGCUGGAACGUUUGCAACGAAGGUCAAAGCAAAGACAAGGAGGAAAAGGCAUGAGAUGGAAAAUCCAAUGGAGCCUCAUGAGUUUUGCAGAUAUGUGGAAAGAUUAAACUUAAAUUCACAUGCUUUUCAUCAAAUUUAAGGAUGGGCUAUUCACCUUAGAGUGGUUUUGUUUGGAAUUCCAUUCUUUAAAGUGGUUUUCAUUUUGAGAAUUGUUUUAUGUGUUCAAUUGUAGAUUUAGGAUGUACAUGUUUAUGUUACCAUCAACCUAUGAUCUGUUUCAUAAAAGGUAUAUUACCUUGAUUC